GGAAGUGUCUUCAACGGACUCAGACCGAUUCUUUAUCAGGUCAGUAAGGAAUGAUAUGCAACAUUGCCUCCAGUAACAUACUAGAGUGCAACAACCAAGUCAAUAGGUCUUCUCUCCCUGUUACCGGCCCUUUCACUCAUAGAGUUCGGAGUCAAGCAGAAUCUUUCUGUUAGUGGUCAAUCAAGUUGAGUUGAUGAAUAGGGUCAAUUAUUAUAUAUGGACUUAAUUUCUCAUUAAUUUUCCACGCGUCAAAUGAAAAGAUCCUAGAUCCUAGUUGCUGUUCUUUUUUUCUUUUUCUUUUUUUUGAGAGGGAGAGAGAUAGGUAGCACGCUACCCGCUUCGUUUAUUUCAUUUAGAAAUAAACUUAGCUGGAAAUGUCAAUCAACUAGGAUUCGAACUUGGGAUUUCGGAUACCAACCACCAAGCUCUUUGACACUUGCUCUAGAGACGGUUGGUUCCUAGCUAGUUGCUGUUCUAUUAUUUGUGCCUAGGUAGUCUUACAAUGUUUAAGUUUAUUAUAUGAGUUUAUUUUAUUCAUAUAUAUGUAGGUAGUUGCAGCACUUCAGUACCUUAAUGUUGCCCAAAAAAAAAUUGUAUUCAUUACAUUGAUCGUUGACCAUUUUACUACAUAAAUAAUGAUGCAAUGUAAAACAUUCGAAAGUUAACUCUGUUUGUUCCUAUUUGCCUUUCCUUUUUUCGUAGCUUAUAAAACUUUUCUUUUGCGAGGUAGGAAAUUCAUGUGGGACAUACACUAGAGAGCACAAAAAAAUUUGCUCGAGUUUAUGAAACUCGAACUUAGAUAGAGGAGUCAUGAUUUCUUAAGCCAAAUACCAAGUCUUGCACGUAAAAACCAAUGACCAAGUCACCAAUGACCGAGUCUUUCUCUCAAAAAGGAAAAAAAAAAAAUCACCCGUAUGGUCAUUCCUUUGUUACAAGACGAAACAUCAUCGGUCGAUACAAUGCUAUUUGCAGCAAAUUUAUCCUUGUCAUGUAGGGUUUAUCUUAUUAUCUAGUACAAAAUAUAGUAUAUUUAUUUAUAUAAUCCAUGUAGGCUUAUCUAAUCCCAUGAACGGCUAUAUAAAAGGUUUGUGGUGCUCAAGCGCCACGUCAAAAAUGCCCAGUUAUCCCGAGCACUGUUGAAGCACCUUAUAUGACAAGAGAAUCAAGAUACACAAGAGGCACGCCAAAAGUGGUGGGCUAUAUACAGUUCAAUGUCACCAUCAGGUUAGGUCAUCUUUAGGGCUCUUCAGGAUCGGACAAGUAGGAACACCAAAGUGGAAUCUCAAAUCCCUUCUCCUUUGUAUGCUCCGUUCGUGGGAAUGCUGAGUGUAAAAAGGUUUGUCAUGAUCAAAGGCUAUCAGAAACUUUAAUAAGCUUUUGCUUUCAUACAUGUAAUUUCUCUUUUUCUUUACAAAGGCAUGGUAACUAACAUUAAGGAUGGCAAAAGUGGACAAGAACAAUCGCAUAUUGUUUAGUCGCAACAUGAUUGCAUUAUACCGACCGUCUCUAGAACAAGUGACAAAAGAUUUGGUUGGUGGUACGCGAGACCUAAUUUCGAAUCCUAAUUAAUUCAUAUUUCUAGCUAAAUUUAUUUUUAAUCAUCAUAUAAUUUUUUACUCCCUACGGAACUAAUUAUUUUAGUGAAAGUACAGAAAGAUGAAGUAAGCUUUUGGAUUCGAAUGUUCACUUUUAUUGUAGAAUUCACUAUAAAAUAAGUUCAACCUUAACUUAGACUUUUCCAAAUCAUUAUAAUUAACUUCGUCCUGGAGGGUGGCAAAGCUAACUACAGAAAAUAAAAUAAAAUAAUUAUUUGUAUUUUUUUUUUUUUUUUGUCCCUGCUGUAUGUUUGGAUGGAAAUUUUUGAUAAUAAUGCACACAAAAAGUGAAAAAGCUGCAAUUCGAAAAUCAUUUAUUUUUUAUCAAAUAAAUAGCGAUAAAAAAUAAUUUUUACGAAGACUUUAGUUUUAUAGGUAAAAGACAUUUCUUUUUUUUUGUUGAGAAAUAGGUAAAAGACAUUUCUAGUCUAAAAAUUAAUUAAAGAUAAACAAUAAAACAAACGAGCCCUAUGUGGCGUAGUUCACACUACAACUAGCUAGGGCAUCUUUUUGACAAUGUGAAAAACAAGCACUAUAUCCUUUUAUCAGAAAAAAAAAAAGAAAAAAAAAAAGAAAAGAAAAAUUAGUACUACCACCAGCGUUACCAAAGCAUGAAAACUGUGGAAUUCAAGUGAAAUGCACCCAACAAUUCGAAGAUGACUUUAAUUUGAUCAGACAAAUUUUGGGAAACCCGCAAUUUUUGUGGUCUGUAGCGAAUUAUUCAUCUAUUUGUCUUCUCAUGAGUUAAUGCUAUAAAUUUUCACCAUUGUUCCUAAAGCAUGUGACAAAGAACUUAGUGAUUGAUAUCGGAGGUCCAAAGUUCAAAUCCUAGUUGAUUUAUAUUUUCAGUUAAAUUUAUUUUUAAAUAAAAUAAACGAAGAGCAUAGCGUGCUUGAAGUUUUCUUCUAUAAAAAAUUCCAAAAAAAAAUAAAGUCGACCAUAUGUUGUGAAAAUAAGAAAAGUUCUAAGAAAGAAUAAAGUCGUACAUAUCUAUGAUUUAAUACAACAAUAUUUAAAGCUGGAUAAUAUUAAGACCUCGUUUGGAUGUCGAAAUAAGUUUGUCCAAUAAUAAUUUAUUCGGUGUGAAGUUUUUUUUGUAUAUAUCUGUGGAAAGUAGAUGUUAAUUUUUUUGCUUUUUAAAAGGUCUUAACAUUCAUUAUAGAAUUGUAUUAUACUGUGUAAUUUAUUAUAUUUCAAAAAUAUGAUUUUAAAGUCGAAUAUGAUUUUUUUCAUUUUAAGUGUCGACACACUCCUCAUUUUUAAUUAUAAUAAAAAAAUUAUACUAAACAAAUAUCACUGAAUAAUAUAAAUUUCCAAACAAAGCUUAAAGAUAUCCCUAUCGCACCUAGCCCUUAUUCCAGAAUCAUAUCAAUCAAUUCCUAUUUAUUUAUUCAUUUUAAUUUGCUAUCCAUCAAUCAUCAAUCGAAUUCUUCAGAAGCACUAUCGGAAGCUUCAAAAGUGGUAUCUCUCAACAAGGUGGGAGAAGACCAACAAAUUAAUGUGCUCAGCCCAAUUCGAGAUUAAGACGUUAUUCACGUAUAGCAUAUAUAUCUUUUUAAAGCAAUGCUAUAGGUACAGAGUAGAGUGUAUAUUUAUACACCUACUUAAUUCUAAAGUUAUUCUUUAUUAUAUCAAUUUUUUAAAAUUUUACUAAAAAUUAAUACGAUUUUUAUGAAUUCUAAAAUUGCGGGUGUAAAAUGCACACUCCUUUUUGGGGUGUACAAGAAGCAUUUUUCUUUUUAAAUAUACACGCAUGUAUUAGUCCACUCACUAAGUUUGGUUAAACUAUUAACCCGUGUCUGAAAAUAGUGAACAAUAGCCUGGCUAUUAUCCUUUUUCAAAGUUUGGAGGAAGCGGGGAGAAAUUCUAUCAAAGGGAGGCUGUACAUAAAAACUAACAAAUGUGCAAAUCAAUUGUUUGUUUUGAUCUCCAAUCGAUCAGAAUCGACAAGGUUAGGCUGCUAAAGAAUGGCUUAAUUAAUUAAUUAACUUGCAUCUGCAGAUAUUCGGGUCAGAUAUUUUAAUUUUAAGUAGUCAACGAAGCAACCGUGCAGUUACUAGCAGUAGACUAGUUAAGCAGGGGGCUAUAAAAUGUAAAUUCAAGUGAAUGAUAAUGAAUCUAAAUUAUCUACCAAAGAUUGAAAAUUUUACUAAAGAUUGAUAAUGGAUUGUCACUCAGCAACCACAUUCAAGUCUGGCAGCUAAAAGAGUGAUAGAACAACAGCUAGCCUCAGACAGGAUUAAGUCCGCAUCAAUAUAAUGCAAGCAUUGCUAUGCUAGAGGAUCACUUCUUAGUUUCAUGGACACAAGAGGUUGGAUGGUAUGACCCUCAACCUACUAUGUAUGGUACACAUAAUUAAAUGCUCACUUUAAAAAAGAGAGAGAGUGUGUGUGUGAGAGAGAGAGAGAGAGAGAGAGAGAGAGAGAUGUGUGGCACUUCACCCACUCGAGAAGUGACUCCUACGAUCAGUUGAGAAAAAGCACUCCUGGGUCCUGGCACUACUCUAUCUCCCGUUUGACUCAGGUCCAUGAUCUCUCCACCACCACCACCACCACCACGUCCUCUCCCUCCGCUACAUCACCAUCCCCACUCCACCUCCACCUCCACCUCCACCUCCACUAUGGAUUGCAAUAUGCCUCUGGGCCACCACCACCACCACCACCACCACCAACACCACUUCUCAAUCCUUAAUUUGAUAGCUCAAGAAAAACCCAUCAUUCCAUUCCCACCCAACCCAACCCAACCCAACCCUGAGAUAAACACGUCCGUACGUGGUGAGACCACCACGCACCCAAAGCACCGCAAAAUAAAAAACGAAGAAGAAAAACAAAAAAAAUUGAAGUGAGACUCAAGCAAUAGUAGAAGAUCAGCGAGAGAGUAUAGAAAAAGGUGCUCUCUAGUCUCACGCAAAAGUGAAUAUUGGUGGGCUACAUUUUCCUGAUAGCUACUUCGUGCUUCCCGGUUCCCGCUCGAGCGUUACAUUUUGUUUUUUUGUUUUUUGUUUUUUUUUUUUUUCUGGUCAUUCGAUUAUUCUUAUUUGUUUUUAUAUAAUAAUAUCUUCACUCUCGUGGAACCCAGCGCGAGGGGUAACGCACGAGAAGGGGUCGAUUCUCGUCGAACUUUCCACCUAAUUUUUACAGUUAUCUUUAUCUUAUCUCAUUUGUGUGGCGCAACCAAAAUAGUAAUAAGGUAAAAAAAAAGAAAAAAAAAAUCAAAUAACCCUUCAAUAAAUUAAUUAAGCUAAAGUAUUCUAGCAAAUUUAAUACUUUUAUUAUUAAUUACUAGUUAUCAUUUGUUGGCAAUAAAUUAAAUUAAAUUAAAUUAAAUUAAAUUAUUUAUUUAUUAGGGAGUAAUUAUUAUAACUAUUAAAUUUGAUAAAAUUACUUUUAAAUGUAAUAAAAUUUUGGAUAUAAAAUUUGAUAAAAUUACUCAUGUCAAAAAAAAUCAAAUGGGCAGAAGAAAUAUCAAGAAAAAAAAAUAAAAAGAUGCGUAUAAUUGAGGGCAUCUCCGUACAUUCUAAACAAAAGAAAAGAAAAGAAAAGAAAAGAAAAGGGAAGGAAAAAAACAAUGGAGGAGAGAGGAAUUUUAAAACAUAUUUUGUUUCUUUCAGUUUUUGGUCCCACUCGUGGAAAAUAAGAAAAAACCACCCACUCGGGUUUGAACGGCCAACCGUAUUUACUCCUCAAUACCACCUAUCCCUCCAUCUGACAUCUCUGGUCACAGUAACAGGUAACAACACCAUGUCUCAUUCAACGCUCCCAUAAGUGGGAAAAGAGAGAGAGAGAGAGAGAGAGAUAGAUAGAUAUUUCCUCUCUCCUUUCCUGCAGCUUUAACAUUGCUUUUGCUGUUGCUGUGUCAAACAUCAAACCCAACACAAACCCCUCCCUCAUGCGCGUGAGGCUGUUUCGGUGGAGGAGAUGGUAUCCUUCUGAGAGGUUUGGGUGUGGGUCUGGGGCGUUCUUCUACUAACUAAGAGGGGUGUCAUUAAUGGGUAAUUGUUGGUUUAGGGGGAACUCUUCCAUCCACAGAGUAUCUUCCAAUGCAAAAUCUGGUAAUUUUAAUGCUCUUCCGAGUUCGAAUCGGUGUUUAAUUGCUUUUGAUAUUGGUUUCUGUUUUCUUCUCUCUCUCUCUGCACUUGGAUUACCGAAAUUCUUAUGUUAUUAUUAUUGGAUUAUUACAUAUUUUGCUUUAGGAAUCCUCUUCAUGUUCUUUUUGAUGCAUGUUUGUUGGGUAAUCAGUUUGGGGGAAAAAAAAGAUACAGAAUUUCGGAACUCUUUUCUUUUUUUCUUUUUUUUUUUUUUUACUGAAGAUCAAAACCAUGCUUUUUGGUUAAGAUUCCAUUAUAGUAAGGGAAUUAUUAAAAUACAUUAAAAGGAACAGUUACUUUUCUUUAAUGUAUUCCAUCUUUGUCUCACAAGGCAACAAGAAAGAAACCUUUUUUUUUUUUUCACCUCAUUACUUUCAAAUUAAAAAUUGUUUAGUGUUGGCCUGUGAGAUUAGUAGUUUGUCCCAAGAUUCUCAAGCUAUGCUGAUUAAUCAAAUAUUUGCAAGGAUAUUUCAAACUCAGAAUCUCUUUCCACAUUAGUUGUUGAUCAUAACAACAUAUGCCCAGAGAAGUUCUAUGCACUUUACAUAUUUAUUGCGGUUAUAUUACUCUGAAAUGAAACUUGCUGGCAAUAGAAUCUCCGAAAGUCCGGAGCCCUUCAGCGAAGGAGGGGUUAAAAGAAGGCAGCAGACUGCCCUCGAACCCAAAAGAAGUCGAGGACUUGCGACGAGAUUCGGCCACGAAUCCUCUGAUUGCAUUCACAUUUGAAGAACUCAAGACAAUUACAGGGAAUUUUAGGCAGGAUUAUGUCUUGGGUGGAGGGGGAUUUGGAAGUGUUUAUAAAGGAUAUAUCACUGAAGAUCUUAGGGAGGGAUUUCAACCUCUGCAAGUUGCUGUGAAGGUUCAUGAUGGUGAUAAUAGUUUUCAGGGUCACAGGGAGUGGCUGGUAUAUAACUUUCCUUUGCUAAAUUACAUUCUCUCUCUCUCUCUCUGUCUCUCUCUCUCUCUCUCUCUAUAUAUAUAUAUAUAUAUAUAUGCUUUAUUUAUCUGCUUAUUUUAGUUAGUAGCAGGCAGCUAUUUAUUAGUUAUGAGAUAUUUUUGAUAUCUGUAGGCUGAGGUUAUAUUCCUUGGGCAACUUUCGCAUCCGAAUUUGGUGAAACUGGUCGGAUACUGUUGCGAAGAUGAGCACCGAGUUUUAAUAUAUGAGUUCAUGCCUCGGGGUAGCGUGGAAUCAAAACUGUUUUCAAGUAAUUUCUCUUGUCUGCACUUGCUAGUUGUUGCUUUAAGUAGAUUAAUUUCUUUUGGAAUGGUUUAAAGUGCAUAUGCUGUGAAACUACAAUGAUCAUUCUACUCGAAUUGUGUGAUUCUUUUUGUUGUUGUUAGUAAAAAUUUCUUAUGUUACCAUACUAGCUAGCUGUUUCACUAAUUUUUUCAAAUUGAUGUAAUUAGUUAACAUUUUCGAAUUGUUGUGCCUUACGAUUACAUUGUUUUCUUAAUAUGUAACUAGGAUGCUUAAAUGCUAGCAUUCCACACACACUAAAAAAAGAUGCUUUAAUGCUGCCAUCGAAAUUCAUUUUGUGGUCAAUGUAGGAACUAACCUUUUAUCCGUGAUUCUCUAAAUGAUAUUCAUCUUCUAUUGCCUUACUUUUUGUUCCCUUGUAGGGGUGUUGCUUCCGCUUCCAUGGUCCACAAGAAUGAAGAUUGCAUUUGGCGCUGCAAAAGGGCUUGCUUUCCUCCAUGAAGCUGAAAAGCCAGUAAUAUACCGAGAUUUUAAAACAUCAAAUAUUUUGCUAGACGAGGUUAGUACGCUGUAGCUACCUUUAAAUGUUUUGAUGUCUUCGACUAAGUCCCAUAACUAUGGAUAACAACUUUUUUUCGUGGCUCUUCUUUUGUUCAAUACCAUGCAUUGUGUCUAUAUGUUGUUUGCUGCUUAUUUGGUCAUUUAGACCUUAGAAGUAUCUAUUUGUUGACUAGCUCAUAUUGGUGUUGUCGUGGAGGUAAACCUCUAAAGAAACCAGUGUCUCAUCUUUUUCCCACAAAAAGUACUUGGAAUGUAUAUGUAAAUGCAUAGCAUAAGGUCAAAAGUUGCUUCAUCUUGCGUUCCAUUCAAGGAUUUAAGUGCCGUGGCACGGGAUCGUGCCGGAAACUUGCCGGCACGGUACGGCACGGUGCGUGCCGAGCCGUGCCGAUGCGUGCCGGUAAAAAAAAUUCUUAUGUGCCGACACAUAAUAGCAUGAAAUAUUUAUUUUCUUUAGCAACAAAAUAUUCUAGCUAUUUAUUAUGUCUUUUUAUCGCAUCUUUUGAACUUUAUUGAGGAAAUUACUUACUACUUUAAAGAAUAGAGGGUUUUGAGCUGUGCUAUCGGCACGGGGUUUGUAUCGUGCCGGUAUUUUGUUGGCACGGUGGAUACGGCCCGUGCUGACGGGCACUUAAAACCUUGGUUCCAUUCAUGUAUGGAAGAAACUAAAAGGAAAUUUCUGGCAACCUUUCAGAAGCUCUGUUAGUGCAUCAAAGAAAUGGUUAUCCCCAUUAAAUGGGUGAAGUCAUUUAUUAAAUCAUAAAUACUUUGUACCUUCUAUUCCAUCGAUUUGUAAAUAAUUCUUAUGGUAUUCUUUUGCUUUCACAGUUUCACCAUUGUAAGCAACACUCUUUAAUUUCGUCCCCACAAAAACUAUCGUGGUUUUAAUGGUUUCGUUGUAGAUGCAAUGAUUGUGCUGUAGCUAUAAUUGCAUUUCUCUUUAAGCACUUAUUGCAACAUUUUGAACUUAUCUUUGUUUAGAUCAUUUCGCACUUCGUAUCCUGCAGUACUCUUGUUGCAAUUUCUCUUAUUCUUUGGUAACAUUUAUAGGAUUACAAUGCAAAACUCUCUGAUUUUGGGCUUGCAAAAGAUGGGCCAGUAGGUGAUAAAUCUCAUGUUUCUACGCGCAUUAUGGGAACUUAUGGGUACGCAGCCCCAGAAUACAUCAUGACAGGUAGUGUAUAUGCUUGUGUAUUCUCUAGUUUAGAAUUUCUGUGUCUUUUGAGUUUUUGGGUUAUGGAAUGGCCUAAAGAGGUACAGUUCUGUACAGGUUUAGUUCAGUUAGAUAUUGCUGAUAGAUGUAAUUUGUGUUAUUUAAAAUUUGAAGUUCCAUUAGAGGUUGCUGUUAAAAAAAUAUUUUUGAAGUGGUCUGUUGAGACAAAAAAUAACAUGUGACUUGUGUAGCAGUGAACUUUUGACACACACACACACAUACACACAAAGGAAGGUCUUGAGCUUGGCAUAUGCUUCAUUUGUUACGUUGAUUAUAGUUCUUGUACCAUUCAAAAAGCAAGCAAACUGUGAGGAUUCUAUUUUUAAUUCCUGAUGCUACUUGGACAAGCAAAUUGGUAAAUGAAGUAUCAACAUAAAAAUUUUAGAAACAAGAUUUCUUAAUUUAUCAAAGCUAAAUCCGUGAGUAGCUGUACGAAAAUAAAAUAAAUUCUGGUGAGGAACAUGCUAGAUUGCGAGUAUAUCCCUCUCUUUGAAACAAUAACAUAGCAACUAUGAUGACUUGACAGAAAUUUGCUGCUUGUAAUAAGACAUUAUCGCCAUUUAGAUUACUAGAAUGCUAAGACACGGAUGGACGUUAUAUCUGAUCUGAUAACUUUUUUCACUUCCUCCAUGUAGGGCAUCUGACUGCGAUGAGUGAUGUUUAUAGUUACGGAGUCGUCCUCCUUGAACUACUCACGGGCAGAAAAUCGUUGGACAAGUCCCGGCCGGUUCGCGAGCAGACACUCGCAGACUGGGCCUUCCCAUUGCUGACCCAAAAAAAGAAAGUGUUGAGCAUCGUGGAUGCUAGGCUUGAAGGCGACUAUCCUGUUAAAGCCGUCCACAAGACGGCCAUGCUGGCUUACCACUGCCUUAGCCGUAACCCAAAAGCACGGCCUCUUAUGCGAGACAUCGUAGAUUCUUUAGAACCUCUUCAGCAACCUGCAGAGACUUCUGUAGAGGCAUCUACAGCUGAUGUCAACUAAGUUCCUAUCUCAAAUGGCUCAUGUUUUAGGAAAAUCGUUAAAACUUGUUGAUCUUGCAGACCAAAAAACAUGGGUUUUGGUUUGGAUGCUUAGAUGCAUCCAUUGGUUGAAAUAGAUGCUUUUCUAUUUGGUUUGAUGUACAUGAUUUCAUUCACACUUCUGUAUAAUACCUCAGGGUAUUUAUUCUGCUGACGUUGGGGUUGACGUUGGGGUUGACGUUGGUAACAUAUAAUCUUUCUGGUAGAAUAUUCUCCGUAUAUUUUCUCUCCAUAAAGCAAACAAAGUAAGCACAAAAUAUGCAGUUUCUAAUGAUAAAUAUCUUGUUAUUGAAUGGCUUCUCACUUUUGUUGGAUCAUUGCGUGAGUAGUGCUGACUUUGGCUAUGUUACAUUGUUAUUAUAUACUUUAAGCAGUGUGAAGAUUGUUUUUGGUCUUUUUGCCAGUGGUGUUAAGAAUGUACUAAACCAAAUUUUGUAUUUCGAAAGCAACAAGAAAAGAGAAAAGAAAAAGAGAAGGAAAAUCUAUCUACCUGAAACAAGUUGUAAGUUCCCCAAAAAAAUCUGCUAUAAAUUCAAACUUAUAAUAGUUAUAUUUAGGUAAACUUCAGUUUGCCUCCUUGUAGUUAAGCUCUUUUUUAUUUUACCAUCAGCCAACUCUUUUCCCUCCCACAUUCACGUUCCUCUCUCUCUCUCUGUUACUCAUCUCUCUCUUUCUCUCUCCUCCACCCUCCUCCCCUCUCUCCCUCUCUUAGCGGCUACAUCAGCUAAGCUCCGAAAUUGAAAGAAGCAAUGCGCAAGAGGAAGAGAAGAAUCGGAAAAAUGAAAGAACAUGAGACUGCGGAAGAGGUUCCAACUGAAAUUGGUAGGCCGCGAUGUAUUUUGCCUUGAAUUUCUUUGAAUUUGUAUGGUUCUUUCUUUUUCAUAUCUUUUCUUUACAUUUGUAUGUUUUCUAAGCGAAAAUGAUUCGAUUCUAUUUUUUCUUUCAUUAAAAAAAUUUAUUAGAGGUUGCAUUGAAUUUGGAGAAUCCGAAAACUAACAAAAGAAAACAGAAAAAGAGAAAGGAAACGGAAAAAGAGAAACGAGAGCCGGGAUGGUACACAAGGGCAACACAUGAUUCUGAAUUCACCUCAAGAAGGAGCAGCCAAUAUUAGUCGAAGCCUGUAAAACAUAUUCUUUACAGUAACACAUUUAGUUAAUCACACUAUAUAAUGAAUUGAUUGAAUCUUUAAUUGGGUAUUAUUACUCCAGCGUACCUAAGUGUCCUGUUCAAUUCCUAUUUGUGUUAUGCGACUAAGGUUGAAACCAAAACAUGAAGUCAAUAUAAUUACAUGAUAUUUAAAACAAAAGAAUUUAUCUUCGGUCAAAUCAAUUCCUAUAAAAUGGAAUAGCUUACCACAAUAAUUGUUGCAGCACAAUAAGUCAGCAACUAAUUCGUAGACAAAUGACAUAUAUAUAUCAAAUCAGAAUAUCUGUUCCUUAUUUUCGCAACUAAAGUAACGAGCCUUCAGUUCCGAGACUCGGGGCGAAUCGGACGGCUAGGUUUUCUUUUCUCGCGUAUAUCACGAGGUGAUGAGAACCCGGGCCACAAAACAACAAUGGGCCAGGCUGGGCCGGAGCAUCUGUUGUGUUGCGUAGCCUGUUCCAACGAGAGCACUGUUACUCCGACGGCCCAACGAGUUCCAUCCAAAAACAAUCGCCUCCUGCCCCUUUAUUAUGGUAGCUCCAAUCCCUAAUCCCUGCAGCCCCAGUCACCCUCCCACCAUGAAAAACCCCAAGGCAUCAUCAUCAGGGAAGGGCUCUUCCCAGAAGGCUCCCUCUUCCUUAGGCUCCGGCGCCGGCGGCGGCCCCUCCGCCGCCUCCGGCAACCGCAAAUCUCGGUGGGAGCCCAACGAUAAGCCGCCCUCCGACCGCCGCCCUUCAGGCUCCGAUUCCAAGCCCCUGAAGCCCAAGGACGAGCCCUCGGGCCCCUCAUCCGCCGCCGCCGCCGCCGCCGCCGCCGCAACACCCAAUCCCAAGGAGAAGCCGGCGGCGCCGACACCCGUCUCCGGCAACCUCCGGUCUCCCCACUCGGCGGGGCCCCCCUUCCACCUCCCCGACCCCGCCGCCGUCCCGCCGCCCCCGCCUCCGUACGGCUUCCACAACCUCGAGCGCCGCACCAUCGUGCUCGCCGACGGCAGCGUCCGCUCCUACUUCGCCCUCCCACCGGAUCCGCCGCCGGCCGCCGCCGCCGCCGCCGCCGCCGAUAAAAUGUUCCCCUACCGCCCCCCAAUUGCCCGCCCCGGCUUCGGCCACGGCCCGGAGCCAGGCGUGGGGUUAGGGUUCGACCGGCACUAUCCCCCGCCCCCUGGAGGGCGAUUCAGCCCCGAGGACCACCUGCGCGACCCGCGCUUCGGCCGUGGAUCCGGGCCGCAGAACGACUACUGGGCGUCUCUGGGGCUCGACGGCCCUCGGGGCCCUUCCGAGAGCGGGCCAUCCUCGCUGAAGAGGAAGUACGGGGAGGACGACGAGCUGGCGUGGAGCAGGAGGCACGUGCUGCUGUACGGGGGCGCCGGUGGAAACCCUCCCGGGCUCCCUCCCGGGGUGGGCGGGGAGCGAGAUGAUCUCAGGUCGUCGAAGCAUGCAAAGUUGGGCGCCGGAGGCUACGAGGGGUUGCCCUCGCGGAGCGCUCGGGUUGAUGAUGCGCCUGCAGUUCCCUUGGAUGUGGAUAAGCAGGCUUUGAAGAGGGCAUUCCUCAAGUUCUCGAAGACUAUCAAUGAAAGCUUCUCACAGAAGAAGAAUUAUUUGGAGAACGGCAAGAAUGAGCCUUUGAAGUGCAUUGCUUGUGGCAGGUUUGCUUACGUUUGGAAGUUUUCAUUUUAUUUAACUACCGCUAUCGCAAUGCAUGCUUGUUCCUUUUCUUUUUCUUAUCGAGAUUUUGUUGUGACUUGUUUACAUAACUCGGUCGUCUAUAUAACUCUCUUGAUAAACUGAUGCAGGAGUCCUGCUAUUCUAUUUGCGCCAGAGGUUUGCAGUUGUUCUCAUUCCGUGCUACGUAGAUUAGUUUCCUUGUUUCGUUGGUGCAUUUAAUCAUUAAGUUCAGCUACUAUAAGUCGUUCUGCAUAUUGAUGGCAUUUGAUAGUCCUUUUUCAUUAGAUUUGGUUAGUAUAUUCUUUUUUUCUUCCCAUCUUUGCUCUUUGCUUUUUUGUUCUGCUGUCCUCGAUUUUUUUUUUUUCUUCUUUGGCUGUUUGUUGUAUUUUUCCUUACAGCGCAAAUUCGCGCCGAUGGUACUAAUUUUCUCCGAUUUCUUUUAUUCUUGUGGGAUGAUUAUGUAAUCCUGUGGCCUUUUAAUGCGCAAAACCUUCACCUAUCUAAUAUCUUUUGUCUUUUCUGGUAAUAUUAAUUGUAUGCAAUAGUAAUUAUUUCCUGAUGAAGCAAAUGCUGCUUUACUUUUACUGCAUCUACUAUCUUUUGUCUCAUCUUUUGAUAAAACCUAUGACUCCUUCCUGUUGCGGAGGGAGUAAGGAGUUGAUAGUUCUUAUGGUUCCUUAGGUUUCUUUUGGUAUGCCAAGUGCAAUGGGGUUCCAAUGGGGUUCAUUGUUAAAGAUGACAUAUAUGAGAUUGCUUGGUAACAAAGAAGUUAUUGAGUUGGUUGGUGCAUGAUUUCUUGGUGUUUGGUUUAUAUGUAUGAUAGGUAAAUUAUUUCCUGUAGGUUAUUUUUAUUGCAGGAAGCAUGAUGUUGUUUGCAGUCCUCCUUAUAAUAAUUUGCCCUAAUCAUUGCAGGUCUAUCUUUAGAUAAAAUUCUUCCAUUUCUUGAAUCCAAUUGCCAUUAUUCCAUCCAAAUAAGUGUAACCAGAACAAGGUACUGUCAUUUUUGGAUGUUUAAACCAAGGAGCUAGCAGAAUUAAGAUGUUGGUAUGUAUGACAGCACCAUUGCAACAUAAAUAUUUCCCAUUUGUUAUGGGCACUUGCUUUGGUCCUUCACGGCCACUUUCCAUGGGCAUGGGCGGCACAACCUGAAUGUCUACAACAUAUACCAUGCUCGCAGACGCAUGGCUCCUCAAUACAUGCUUGUUUGUCUGUUGCUUUAUGUACAGUUACAAUCACUCCUUGAGUCAUUUGAGAUGAUUUUAGUCAUGGAGUGUAUUUAGUGCCUUUUGCUGAGGUGCAUUUUACAAAAUAUGGUUUCUUUCUCUUGGUUGCAGGACAUGAACAUUUCAGGUUAUAGUAGUUUAAUGAUAUUAUGGGUUUUAAAAGGGUUUCCCUUAACCCAGAAGGGUUGCACCAUAUGCUGAUCUCCUUAUUACAUACUUCUGCCCAUUUACUCUCUGCAAAUAGUCUUUGUGAAAAUUUUUGAUGAGAUGUGAUUUGGUUUGAUCGUGUCCCAUAAAUCUGGUAUUUUAUCAUUGCUAGAAGUCUUAUAAGUCUUGUUUGUUUCAGCAUUUGGAAACAUCCAGAUGUAUCUUGUAGUUAGAGCUAUAAAUACCUAUAUGAAUCAGAGAACUUGAUGCCUGUCUUCACUUUAAACAACUUUUGAAGUAAUAUGCUUGUAAGUAUUUUAUGACUUGUGAGAUGUGGUCGUUAAGAGAACUUCAUAUGUUUUGAAUUUUCAUUCUUGGGGUGCUGCAAAAUUGGCAUUUGGCAUGGUCCAAUAACGAUCCUUUUGACCAGUUAAGUGAAGCUUGCUGAGCUGUCAGGUAGGUUGCUAAAACUAAGUCAAUUGGUAGCUAACCAAAAGCAACUCCGUGGAAAGAGAAACACUUUGUAAAUCCAUUGUUAUUGCAACUGGAAAUUUGCAUAAAAUUUCUAGAUAGCCGGUAAUAGAUGAUUGUUCAUGGAUUUGGACAGGCUAUUGUUCUUUGAUGUUCAAGCGAUGUAAAAACAUCAGCCUUGCUGUAACUUUGCCUGUGUCACAUCUAAAUCAAGCAGCAUGGUUGUUAUCUAGAAAUCUAGAUGCUAGGUAUUAUUUUGUUAUCUACAAGUCUACUUCUAGAUUUGAAUCUUGAUGUCACCUUGCAGGUGCAGUGAAGCAUCCAAAUGUUUGUUAAUUAUUUACAUGCUGUUUUUGUAGUAGGUAAUAAUUAACUAACUGUCGUAAGGUGUUGGCUCCAGUUCCACAUGCCGAAGUUGGAGCUAUAUUGUAGUCGUAGAUCUAACAUUUGGAGUUACAUGAGUUUCAAUGGGGGGCUUUUUGGUUGAGUAGGAGGGGCGGUACCAACAUUGGAUGGGGCACUAGUUGACAUUGACGGCAGCCUCGGCACCUUUGGGGCAAUGGUCUCCUUAAUGGUCUUGGCAUAGCCUCCAAAAGCUCUAUCUUUUCCUCCGCGACUCCUCCCUUUCUUCCUUUAUGUGUGCACUUUGGGGAAUGUAGAGGGGCAUCGAUGAUGGCGGAAAGGCACCAGCCAGUUCCCUCUCUCUCUCUCUCUCUCUCUCUCUCUCUCCCUGUAUACAAACACACCCACAAACAUUUCUCUCUCCUUGUUGCUUUGGCAGAGGCUACAGUAGAGGAUAGCAGCUUCUCAUCUUAUUCAUAAGUCUCUCUCUCUUCUAUCCUUCUUCACUUUACCUUUGUUCUCUCAUUUCUCUUUUCAUUUCAUAUCUUCCCAAUGUUGUAGUUAAUUGUCACCAGGUAGCUGCUUCAACAGAAGCUGUAAAGCUAAUUAUGCCUACUUUUCUAUUGAUUGGUAUGUUAGACAAAUCCUCAAUAGGGGUGUUUCUACUAAAUAUAUUCAUUUUUCCUUUUGGAGUUUGCUAACUUUCUGUUGAGUGGUUAUUUGAUGUGAAUACCUUGUUCUCUCAUUUCUCUUUUCAUUUCAUAUCUUCCCAAUGUUGUAGUUAAUUGUCACCAGAUAGCUGCUUCUAUGGAAGCUGUAAAGCUAAUUAUGCCUGCUUUUCUAUUGAUUGGUAUGUUAGACAAACCCUCAAUAAGGGGGUUUCUACUUAAUAUAUUCUUUUUGCCUUUUGGAGUUUGCUAACUUUCUGUUGAGUGGUUUUUUGAUGUGAAUGUGGUAACAAUGACUUGUAAUUUUGAUUUGCUUUGAAAGCAAAUGGUGCUGACCAUCAAUAGUCAGCAAGUGGCUUUAUUGGCAAGUUUCUGAUUGUUCUGUGCUAUGCAUCUUUGACGAAAAUCUCAUUCUCAGCUAUUAAUUCUGCAUUGCAUUUCCAGUUUAUAUCUGUUGAGAGAGUGGACUUGCAUUCUUAUCUCCCCUCUUUAACGAAAUAGGUAUUUGCUCAGUUAAUACUUUGCUAUAUGACAGUACAAGCAGCUAAGUUCAGACUGAACUCCUUGGUUCAGCUAUAUGGAUCCUUUCCCUCCAUUUAAUUUCGUUUAGAGCAUGGUCUACUGUCAAAGUUGCGUGUUUCCCUAUUAUAAUUACCGACAUUUACUAGGUUUCCUAUAUUUAGCAAGUUUCAAUGUAUUGGUGUCAAACAAAUCAUAUGAAAGUGUUCCGUAUGUAAAAGUGAGCAAAUAUUUCUUUUUCUUUGUAGUGGUAGUUUGCAUGAUCUAGGCCCUUGCUUGUCUCUGUGCCCUUUUUGCCAUAAUAAUUAUUCACAUGGACACUUAUUCCUUAGCAGGAUGUCUUUGGUUUAGGAAGAAUUAAAUUCUUUCAUGCAAAUUCGAGCUGGCAGUUAUUCAACUUGCCAUACUUUGAGUUGUUGCUAAUCUUGAUAUGCAUAUAACAUGAUUUUUUUACUUUGUUUGUGUUCAAAGUUGUUCAAUGACUUGCAUUUUAUUUGCCUUUUCUCAUAUGCUUAUUUUUCAUUCCGGAGAAAGAAUAUAUCCCAGAUUCAAAGGCUAUCUUUUCCUUUGAUUUAACUACUGUGUAUGGAGCAAGGAUUGCUUGUGCCACCCUGUGCCAUACCAUGCCGAGGGCGUGCCAUAAUGUGGCACAGGGUCAUGCCAACACCGUAUUUGAAAUCUUUUUGAGUUUUUUUGAGGCAAAAUGUUUUAUAAAUGUUUUUUCAUACUUAAAAUAUGUAGAUCUUGUAAACCUACUUGCACUUGGAGCAAUUAGUAAGCUCCAUCGCAUAAUAAGACCAUUUUUAAGUUAAAAAAGAAAACAAAAUGAAUAGAUUUCCCCUUAUUUCCUUUAUCCUUUAGAUCUAUAAAUAAUGAUUUUGGUUUUGGUUUCAUGAUAUACUUUCUUAAUAUCGAUAAAAUAAUUCUAUUAGUUAUGAUGUUUAUGACUCUAUUUUUGUUAUAUACUGUGAGAUAUAAUAUAUAAACGAAUUCAGCUCCUAUGCUUUUAAAAGUACAAAGUCAUUGGUACUUGUAGGUUUCGGCCUUUGGAUUAAGAGAUGUGCAGUUAGGAUUAUAGUGGUCCCCUACGGUUGAGUGGGUGGUUGGUUGAAUAAUAUGAUCUAACAGGUAGAAAUGGUUAAAUCGGUAGAUCUAACGGCAGAAAACUUACAAGCACCAAGCGCUUUGUGCUUUUAAUAGCACCAUAGCCGGACUCUAUAUAAACUAUUUUUAUAAUCACUAGAUAUAUUAAAAUACUAUAAAAACUAAUUUUCCAUAAUAAUUUAAUAAAUAGAUUUCGCGCCAAUGCGUGCGAAAGUGUAAGUUGUGUGCCACUUGCACAAGGGGCAUGCGAACAUUGGCAUGCCCCUUGCCACUUGCCAUGCCUGCUAUGCCGUGUCGUGCUGUUGGCAUAGCGUCAUGGGUUAUGCUAGUGUCACAGCAAUUCUUGGUAUGAAGAAAUUUUGGGAGCCUGCUUGUAGAUUGCCAAUGGCACGGGCUGUGCUAGCGGCACGGCAAUCCCUGGUAUGGAGAAAUGUUGGGGGUUGCUUGUAGAUUACAUUGGCCUAAAAUAUACCCUGUCAGUUUGGUUACUGUACUCAUUAACCGGACUUAUCAACUUAAAGGCAAGCUUCUUCCCUAUUUUAAGUCUGCUAGGAUUUGGGUACAAAAUUUAGAGAGUUAAGGUCAGGGUAAUAGCUUGUGAAUUUUUCACUCUUCCCGGCUUUCUUUGCUAGCAUUGUACUUGCAACAUGUGAACUGGUGGAGUGUUUCUAUGAAAUCUUUCUAUCUUGUAGAACCCUUGAUUUGCAGCAAAGCUGCUUUUAGGAAUAUCAUUCUUAUGUGACAGAUGUUUGAUAUCCUUCAUUAGCUGAAAUGGGAGGUUGGCAAUUUUUUUUGGGUGAAAGCACCAGAUUUUAAUUUCUGUGAAUUGCCGUGUAUAUAUUUACAGUUUCCAGUACUUCAUAUCACAUUGUGUUAGGUCUUCAAUUGUAUGGCAACAUGAGUCAUUUAUUUCUGCCCUGACGCUUUAAAAAUGGACUAGAGAAGUGGAGGACCAUGACCUCUUUGUUCCUGUCAGUUUAGGGAAAUUACACAAUUGUUAGGCUAAUGUCUAUUUCUUGUUUAUAUGUUAUCCAUUGUUAUCCUUAUAUUGGUCGAUUAAAGAAUGUAGGCCAUUUCUCUUUGCCUCAAGUCUUUUAUCUUCUAUUGCAUUAAACUAGGAAUAUUUUUCUCUUUGUUAGUAGUUUAUGCAAAGUGUGUAGCUGCAUAACAGUGUCCUGUUUUACUGCUCCUUUUGUAGCAUGAUCUGAUCUUGUUCUAUUAUGUGUUUUCUAUGCAUGAUACAGGGCUUCUAAAGACUUUGCAGAUGUGCAUGCACUUAUCAUGCAUGCAUAUCACUCACAAAAUGCAGACAUGCGUGUUGAUCAUCUUGGAUUGCACAAGGCAUUGUGUGUU
rnacentral:lncRNA from 1 species